GCCUUCUUAUUUCAGUGGUAGAAUAUUUCUUUCCUAAGGAAACGGUCGCGGGUUCGACCCCCGCAGAAGGUU
rnacentral:tRNA from 1 species